UCCGCGUUUUGAGCUGUUAAACCUGAGCUGUCAUUAUGCCUCACGUUCUCUCUCCAUGGUGCCUUUUGAGAAUUUGAAUGGUGCGAGAUUUCUAUAAGAUCUUGGGGGUGCCGCGCAGUGCCUCUAUAAAGGACAUUAAGAAGGCCUACAGGAAGCUAGCCCUGCAGCUUCAUCCUGACAGGAAUCCUGACGAUCCCCAAGCCCAGGAGAAAUUCCAGGAUCUGGGUGCUGCUUAUGAAGUGCUGUCAGAUAGUGAGAAACGGAAACAGUAUGAUACUUACGGUGAGGAAGGAUUAAAAGAUGGUCAUCAGAGCUCCCAUGGAGACAUUUUUUCACACUUCUUUGGAGAUUUUGGUUUCAUGUUUGGAGGAACCCCUCGUCAACAAGACAGAAACAUUCCAAGAGGAAGUGAUAUUAUUGUAGAUCUAGAAGUCACUUUGGAAGAAGUGUAUGCAGGAAAUUUUGUGGAAGUAGUUAGAAACAAGCCUGUGGCCAGGCAGGCUCCUGGCAAACGGAAAUGUAACUGUCGGCAAGAGAUGCGGACCACUCAGCUGGGCCCUGGGCGCUUCCAGAUGACACAGGAAGUGGUCUGCGAUGAGUGCCCUAAUGUCAAACUAGUGAAUGAAGAACGAACGCUGGAAGUGGAAAUAGAGCCUGGAGUGAGAGAUGGCAUGGAGUACCCUUUCAUUGGAGAAGGUGAGCCUCACGUGGAUGGGGAACCCGGAGACUUAAGAUUCCGAAUCAAAGUUGUCAAGCACCGAAUAUUUGAAAGAAGAGGAGACGAUCUGUACACAAAUGUGACAGUCUCGCUGGUUGAGUCUCUGGUCGGGUUUGAGAUGGAUAUUAUUCAUUUGGAUGGUCACAAGGUACAUAUUUCCCGGGACAAGAUCACCAAGCCAGGAGCCAAGCUAUGGAAGAAAGGGGAAGGGCUCCCCAAUUUUGACAAUAACAAUAUCAAGGGCUCUUUGAUAAUCACUUUUGAUGUGGAUUUUCCAAAAGAGCAGUUAACAGAGGAAGCAAGAGAAGGUCCUCCUGUACCCCCGUCCCCCCAUUGGGGUUGUCUGGUCAAUAGCUUCUCCCUGGACUUACGAUUGAACCGUGGACAAAGGACACAUGGAUAUCAAGGUGACUUUGGACUUUCCAUUGCAUCACCGAGUGCAUCAACCUCCAACUGUUAGUUUUGGAUUUCCUACAAAGAGACCAUGCUGACACCCACUCUCUACGGUGCUUCAUUACACGAGGUCUGUUCGCUUAAACUGUCCUUGGUGGACCAUUUCCUUUCCCGACUCAUCCAUGAUACUACGAAAUUUCUUUUGGUUAAAUGUCAUAUUCCCUGUUUAUGACUCAAGCUGUAUACUAGCUAUUUAUAGUGAGGGGACAUGGUUUUCAAAGAGAGACCAAGUGACAUAGGGAUGAGGAGAGCACCUCACCCUUUUUCAGGGUCCCUGGGCAGCCUGUCCCUGGGCAUCGCUGCUCCCUGGCAUCACUGCCUGAUCUUCAACACAGCUGCCUAUCCCUGACCGUGCCUGUCCUGGGGCUUCACUUUCUUCUGUAAAGAACUGCUGCCCAACCCUGGAUCCUGUCACCUGCUCCAGGAACCUGCUGCUUACCCAGGAUCCCACUGCUUAACCUGAUCCUGCUGCUUACCCAGGAUUCUGCUGUUUACUGAGGAUCCCACUGCCACCCCUCUGUACACUGCCUGCUUUGGGGCUGCUGUCUGACCCUGGUCCUCACUUUCUCCCCAGAACACUGCUUCCUGCAACUAGAGAAUGAUGGCUACCACAAUGUCACUCCCUGCCCCUGGGCUCUGCUGUUUGCCGCUGGAGGUCACUUUCUUCAGCAGGGCACUCAAACCUGCCUCUGGGCACUGCUGCCCGACUCUAGACUCAUUGCCUGCCCCUAGAAACCCUUGUCUGUUCCUGGGCAUCAUCUUUUUAAGGCACUGCUACCUGCCUUUGGACGCUGCUGUCCACCUUGGACACGCCUGCCUGGCCCCAGACACCUCGCUUUUCUUCAAGCCACCAUUACCUCUGGACAAUGUCUCCCGCCUAUGGACACCACUGCCAGCCCCUGGACACCACUUCCUUCUUCGGGGCACUGUUCCUGCUGCAUGGCCAACACCAUCUGCCCCUGGUCCCUGCUGCCUGCCGUGGACAUGGCUGCCUGUCGCUGGGCACUGCUGGCACCACCCUAGCCGACCUUUCCUUUUCCUGCUCCUGUCCUGUGCAACCAUCAAGGCGGAGACACCCGAGCUUUUGGGGGACAGCACCUCUUCGGUUCUUACUAUAAGAGAACUCAGACGUUGCGCCAGGAGACAAAUCCAAGCGACCGACGCUGUGCUUUUCCAGUUGAUCCAGAGGCUCCAGCCCCAGCCCCCAUGCCCAGGAGAUGGGCUCUGCCCCCAGAGGUCCCCUACCCACCUGUCCCCAAAUCAGACGCCACAGGGCCAAGAGGGAGUCCAAGCCCCUGGGGCUGCACGAAACAUAGCUUUCUAUGCCGCUCUGUCCUGUUGAGUUAGGAGGGAGAGUUCAAGCUGGUAGAAACUGCAGGACAGAAGCAAGCAAAGGGCUGUUGCUUAAGGGACAGGUUAAUAUUUGUGUAAAUCAGGUGGACACACAACAAACCGUAUAUUGGCCUGUUCUUUACAACACCCUCCAUCACUUUGAACAUGGUAUCUGCGUCAUAUUCAUAGAAAUAAUAUUUAAAUGCGAAGUUCAGGAUAGGAAGGCUGGGGUGGAAAAUAUGAGAGUUUUAAAAGAACAAAUAUGGCGUUUUCAUUUUGUUUUCCAUCUCAUUGGAGUCGUCGCGGUCUGACUGUAGGUACAUUUGUGUGAGGACUUCUCUCAGUCAGAAGUGGGGCUGUGGCAGUGUGGGCAGAAGAUACAGACCCUGGUCAGAAUUCUACUUCUGCCCCUUGCCCGCGGUACAAAGGUGAUGCAGAAGUUGUGAUAUAAGGAACACGGAGGGAGCGAGUUAGGUGAUAAGGAUUCUCGGCUGAAGUUUUUCUUGGUCUGUGUUUGCUGUUAUUUGACCUACUUCUAAGUUUUUCAUUUUUUAUUUCAGUAGCCAUAUUUUCAGCUAAGAAUGUCUGCUUUUGUUCGGAUCCACCCUUCCCAUCCUCCUGGCUUUGGGAUUGGAUACCAUGCUUACUAUAUGAAUUGGGCAGACACCAGUGGAUGGCACUUACCGAGGACCAAGAAAGACCCUGAGGAAAAGGCUACUCUAGAAAGUGCAGCAGAACAUGGCACUGCCCUGACAGCCCAGACCCGAGCAGCUCAGCAAGCGUGCCAAGUUCACAGGAUUCUCACAGUUCAUUCCCUAAGCGUAGUCCGUACUUGUUCACCUCUUAACUUUGCCAACGUAGUUCUUCCAACGGGACAGUUUUUAUUUUCACUUGUAGAAAUCCUGCCCAUCUCCUUCAGGGUAGAGUCCAAAGUGCCCUCUUGUCCUGGUUUCCUCUCCCCUGCCUGCCCACAGCUGACCUUGGGUCUCCCCAUCUCCCGUGGGUUCCUGUAGCACCUGGGUCCUCUUAUGCCCUACCUGAGGUUAACAGGAUCAGCUAUAUGACUCUUGUGGGCCUGUGCAAAACAGAAACCUAGCUCCCCUAGUUAAAAAGAAUUAGUAAGAAUUUCAGGUCGGGGGAUUUAGCUCAGUGGUGCCGCUACCUUCCUUGCAAGCACAAGGUCCUGAGUUCAAUCCUUGGUGCCAAACAAACAAAAAAAGAAAUUCAAGACAGUGGUAGCAGAGUAUUCCAGGGAGCAAAGGCUCUUCUAGGUGUGUCCUGUGUGGGAUGCAUUCCUGAAAAGCCAGCCUCCAUGACUGCACUCCACUCAUAGGCUCCAAGGGGAAACAGAGUCCCACUAAGCAAGCAUGGUCUCUGAAAUGCCUGUUCAAAUCUCCUCCCCGGAAGCUCCUGAACUUCUCUCCUCCCCUUCCUGAACCUGGUUCCAGGGCUCCAAUGUCUGGCUUUCUAGCAUACUGGAGACUCCGCAUCCUGAGCCCCCACCAGCCAUUCUGACCUAUGCUUACAGCCCUCAGCCUUGAGCCCUGUCUUAUUUCCUGGGAUUAGCCAUACAAGCAACACAGAAAGAUCUAUUGUUUUUCUUUUUUUUCCCCCAAGAAUACUACUCUCUCCUUUUCUCCAUCUGGUUCCUCUGGUUGCCAGAAGUCGCUAGCACACAGCCUUGUCUUUGAUGCAGCAUUGGUUCGAAGAGAUGGGCGUACAAGCAUUUUACCUGUCACAUUUCUUCUAAGUAAGUGGUAACAUAGCUGCUCAUCAGAUGAAUGUCACGCGUACCACCAUAUUUAACGCACUUGAUAAUCCUUUGAAGUAUGUGCUACUACUGCUAUUCCCUUUACAGUGUUCGAGCAAGAACACCUGAAACAGAUUCCUGCCCUCUUAAGAUGUAUUCAAGAGACCAGACAACAAAAAGUACAGAAACACCGCCAG